CGCCAUGGCGCACGGGCCGAAAACGAGGCUCGGGCACGAACUCGAAAAUAAGCUAAGUCCAAGCGUGUGGAAAGACACCGAACUAAAGUGCAUGUCUUGAGUGAAGGCAAGGUGGAACGGAGGGAAAACGGGAGGAGGCGCGCGGCGACGGGCGGCAGGGCGUUCGGCCUUGCGCUGGGCUGAAAACAGGGGUUCGCCAUGGCGCGCGGGCCGAAAACCGAGGUUCGGGCAGGCCCGAAAUAAGCUAAGUCCAAGCGUGUGGAAAGACACCGAAGUAAAUGUAUGUCUUGGUGAAGGGCAGGGGAACGGAGGGAAAACGGCACGGAGGCGCGGCGACGGGCGGCAUGGCUGUUCGGCCUUGCGUCUGGGCUGAAAACGAGGGGUUCGCCAUGGCGCGCGGGCCGAAAACAACGGUUCGGCCACGGCCGCGAAAACGGCUAAGUCCCAGCGUGUGGAAAGACACCGAACCUAGAGCGCAUGUCUUGAGUGAAGGUAAAGGUGGAACGGAGGGAAAACGGGAGGAGGCGCGCGGCGACGGGCGGCAGGGCUGUUCGGCCUUGCGUAUGGGCUGAAAACGAGGGUUCGCAUGGCGGGGCAGAGCGCCAUGGCGCGCGGGCCGAAAAAAACGGUUCGGCCACGGCCGCGAAAACGGGCUAAGUCCAAGCGCGUGGAAAGACACCGAGGCUGCUACGUAGGUCUCGGUUGAAGGGCACGGUGGAACGGAGGGAAAACGGGAGGAGACGCAAGGCAACGGGCGGCAGGGCUGUUCGGCCUUGCGUUUCGGGUGAAAACGAGGGGUUCGCCAUGGCGAACGGGCCAAAAACGGAUUUUCGGCCACGGCCGCGAAAACGGGCACGUGGAAGGGCACGGGACCCUCCCGUGGUCCCCCCGCGUGAGACGUGGAAGUUCGGGUGCACCCGUGAGGGAAAACGGGUCACGCUAGCGAAACCCCUGAUUCUGAGCAAAAACGCUGUGUCCAGCCAUCUUAGAUGGGUUUCGUGGGGUACUGGGAAAAUGCCCUGGUUUUCUGAAGGCAGAACUCCCCGAAGUCCUGGGAGGGGGUAUGCCCCUCAGGUAUAGUAGGGGGUAGGGAACUCGUGCAGCCGAAACCCGGGCGAAACGCUGCUGAAACCAUAGCGUUUCCAGCGUCUCCUCCAGGUCUCCUCGGCCGAGCCCCGCACCCCCUCGCGGCCUAGCCGUGGCCGGUCGGCACCCUACCGCGCCCAGCUCCGGCUGGCGCUGUUGGCUGCCUGGCCGGCCGUGGUUCGGCCGUGACGCAGCCACGACCGGCUAUGGCUGGCUACCGCCGGCCAGACGCCCUGGACGAGUGGCUGCACCGUGGGAUGGCCCGUUGCUCGAUGCGUUUUCCGUUUCUCCCGCGCUCGGUGGACCUUCGGUCGCCGUCCUCGCAAGCAGACCCGCCGCGCCCAGCGCGGAGGGAUGCUUUGGAUGGCUCGAUCGUAGCGGCUACGCUGGCGCAUGAGUUGUCUUGGACCCGUGACUGCUUGGAGGACCCCCGCUGCCGUGCGGCCGACUCCCGGCGCCCGUGUCCCAUCGCUCGUGCGGGCAUCCUGUGCCUGCUGCGUUGAGAAGUGCUUGCGUGCUGCUACCCGUCCCACGGGAAGCCGUGCUCGAUACACGUUGCCUUCGUCGAGCUCACCCCCCGGGGUGCGGCUCGUCGGCUCGAGAGCGCCCGCGGCGUUUGCCUCGUGCCGCCGUCGGCCUAUGGCCGGCGGCACCGAGGACACCUCGCUGGCGCUUUUGGUCUCGGAUGUGGCUCACGCUGAAGGCCGGAGACGCGUUGGCGUCACGCGCCCAAGAAUCGGUCCGCCCGAACGAACGACGGCCAGCCCGGCACGACGCCUCCGCGCGGAGGCCGGCGCUGGCCCGUCUGCGAGGACGUG
rnacentral:lncRNA from 1 species